CUGUCCUAACCGGGCAGUUGAUCCACCAGGCAAGUGACAAUCAGGAUGCAGGAAGAGAGGCCAGUACACAUGGUCUGUUCCAAUAGCCUCGUUUCUCUGUCGAAUCCUAAAAUACAGAGGUUCACCACGUUCUUGUUACAGACAGCAAGGGCUCUGGGAGGCUACCAGAUUUGGUUGUUCUGCUGUUAUCUCCUGCCACUUUCUCCUGUUCUCUUACAUGGCCGAGGAGAGCUGAGCCUCGUCUGCAGGGUCGAGGAGACACUGCCCUGAAAAUGUUGGUAUAUGACAAGUAUUUGUUGUUGUUAGCUGCUGCUGUUCUGCGGGAAUCUUGCAGCUGCAGAAGAAGCUGGCAAGGCUGGGUUUUGUGCAGCCUGUCUUACUGGGGGUCGGGUUUCUCACUUAGCACCCCCUUUUCUGGAGAUGGAGGAUGAUUCACUGGGAUGGGAGCUGCUUGCCCCCUGCUCUAAUAUGCCCUUUUACUUUCCAUUCAAAGGUCUUGAUUGUGGUGAUUUCUAGGAACUCCAGACGUUCAGCCUACUUCUGUCUCUGACACUAAAUGCAUCCCAGCUUGCGUUACAUGGGAAGGUGCUUACUAUUAAAAUCUCUCUGUCUGCCUUUGCUAGGGUCUUCUGAUUGCUCUGCAGGUUGGUUUCCAUCCGAGGUGGGCCAUGCUCCUGGAGCUUUCUACUGGGUUUUCUUCUUUCCAGGAGCAAUAGAAAGGCGGGUGUCAUGGAGCCAUCGUGGGCACCUUGGGCUCUGUAGGACUGAACUCUGUCCUUCUGUGGGUCAGCUACUUGGCUUUCUUCCAGCCCCUCUUCCAAAGCCUCACACAUCCGGGAGCUGAAUUGUGGCUCUCUGGUUGUCCUUUCCAGAACACUUCCACCUGCACCCGGGAACGCUGCUGCGCCUGAGAGGCUGGAGGCUCUGAAAUACCAACGGAUAAAGAAGCCCAAAAAGUCAUCCAAGGGCUCUUCGAAGUCAAAGAAACGAUCCGACGAUUCUGCCUCCCAGACUCAGCAGCUUCCCAACUCUCAGGUUCUGUGGCCCGAUGAAGCUGUCUGCCUCCGAAAGAAGAAGAGACAUUCUCGUCCUGACCCCUUUGCCCGGCUCUCAGACUUGUGCCACCGCCAGCUUCCGGAAGACCAGACAGCGAUUCUCAACAGUGUGGACCACGAUGACCCAGGACAUGCCACUUUGCUGUGACUCCACCCCACUCUAGGUGUCCCCGGGGCGAGGUUGCUGGGCUCAGGCAGGGAGGGCCACUGUGUGGGGG
rnacentral:lncRNA from 1 species